rnacentral:rRNA from 1 species
AGAGUUUGAUCAUGGCUCAGGACGAACGCUGGCGGCGCGCCUAACACAUGCAAGUCGAGCGAGAACCAGGGCUUGCCCUGGGGACAGCGGCGAACGGGUGCGUAACACGUGAGCAACCUGCCCCAAAGACCGGGACAACCCGAGGAAACUCGGACUAAUACCGGAUGCCCUCACCGGGUCGCAUGGUCUGGUGAGGAAAUGGAUUCCGCUUUGGGAUGGGCUCGCGGUCUAUCAGCUUGUUGGUGGGGUAACGGCCUACCAAGGCGACGACGGAUAGCUGGUCUGAGAGGACGAUCAGCCACACUGGGACUGAGACACGGCCCAGACUCCUACGGGAGGCAGCAGUGGGGAAUCUUGCGCAAUGGGGGAAACCCUGACGCAGCGACGCCGCGUGCGGGAUGAAGGCCUUCGGGUUGUAAACCGCUUUCAGCAGGGACGAAAUUGACGGUACCUGCAGAAGAAGGCCCGGCCAACUACGUGCCAGCAGCCGCGGUAAUACGUAGGGGCCUAGCGUUGUCCGGAAUUAUCGGGCGUAAAGAGCUCGUAGGCGGUUCGGCAAGUCGGAUGUGAAAUCUCCACGCUUAACGUGGAGGGGCCAUUCGAAACUGCUGUGACUCGAGUCCGGUAGGGGAGUGUGGAAUUCCCGGUGUAGCGGUGAAAUGCGCAGAUAUCGGGAGGAACACCAGUAGCGAAGGCGGCACUCUGGGCCGGUACUGACGCUGAGGAGCGAAAGCGUGGGGAGCGAACAGGAUUAGAUACCCUGGUAGUCCACGCCGUAAACGUUGGGCACUAGGUGUGGGACUCUAUCGACGGGUUCCGUGCCGUAGCUAACGCAUUAAGUGCCCCGCCUGGGGGAGUACGGCCGCAAGGCUAAACUCAAAGGAAUUGACGGGGGCCCGCACAAGCGGCGGGAGCGGUGUGGCUUAAUUCGAUGCAACGCGAAGAACCUUACCUG